GGGAUCGGCUCCGUAGCGUAUAUUAAGUUGUUGCAGUUAAAAAGCUCGUAGUUGAACUUUGGGUCUGGUUGGCCGGUCCGAUUUUAUGUCGCGCACUGGUUUUCAACCGGAUCUUUCCUUCUGGCUAACCUGUACUCCUUGUGGGUGCAGGCGAACCGGGACUUUUACUUUGAAAAAAUUAGAGUGUUCAAAGCAGGCGAAAGCUCGAAUAUAUUAGCAUGGAAUAAUGGAAUAGGACCGCGGUUCUAUUUUGUUGGUUUUCGGAACUGAGGCCAUGAUUAAGAGGGACGGCCGGGGGCAUUCGUAUUGCGCCGCUAGAGGUGAAAUUCUUGGACCGGCGCAAGACGGACCAGAGCGAAAGCAUUUGCCAAGAAUGUUUUCAUUAAUCAAGAACGAAAGUCGGAGGUUCGAAGACAAAAAAAAUAACCGUUA
rnacentral:rRNA from 1 species